rnacentral:rRNA from 1 species
CCUACGGGAGGCUGCAGUGGGGGAUAUUGCACAAUGGGGGAAACCCUGAUGCAGCGACGCCGCGUGAGUGAGGAAGCAUUUCGGUGUGUAAAGCUCUAUCAGCAGGGAAGAAAAUGACGGUACCUGACUAAGAAGCCCCGGCUAACUACGUGCCAGCAGCCGCGGUAAUACGUAGGGGGCAAGCGUUAUCCGGAUUUACUGGGUGUAAAGGGGGCGUAGACGGCGAAGCAAGUCAGGAGUGAAAACCCGGGGCCCAACCCUGGGACUGCUUUUGAAACUGCGUAGCUAGAGUGCAGGAGGGGUAGGCGGAAUGCCUGGGGUAGCGGUGAAAUGCGUAGAUAUCAGGAGGAACACCAGUGGCGAAGGCGGCCUGCUGGACUGCAACUGACGUUGAGGCCCGAAAGCGUGGGGAGCAAACAGGAUUAGAUACCCCUGUAGUC